UCCGUACUGUGCUACGGCUCGGACACGA
rnacentral:sRNA from 1 species